rnacentral:rRNA from 1 species
GAUGAACGCUGGCGGCGUGCCUAAUACAUGCAAGUCGAGCGAACGGACGAGAAGCUUGCUUUUCUGACGUUAGCGGCGGACGGGGGAGUAACACGUGGAUAACCUACCUAGAAGACUGGGAUAAAUUCGGGAAACCGGAGCUAAUACCGGAUAAUAUUUUGAACCGCAUGGUUCAAAAGUGAAAGACGGUCUUGCUGUCACUUAUAGAUGGAUCCGCGCUGCAUUAGCUAGUUGGUAAGGUAACGGCUUACCAAGGCAACGAUGCAUAGCCGACCUGAGAGGGUGAUCGGCCACACUGGAACUGAGACACGGUCCAGACUCCUACGGGAGGCAGCAGUAGGGAAUCUUGCGCAAUGGGCGAAAGCCUGACGGAGCAACGCCGCGUGAGUGAUGAAGGUCUUCGGAUCGUAAAACUCUGUUAGUAGGGAAGAACAUAUGUGUAAGUAACUGUUCACAUCUUGACGGUACCUAAUCAGAAAGCCACGGCUAACUACGUG